UGAAGGGAUGGGAAAAAGGAAGGUACGUAUCGCCAAGCAGGAGGUAUGGCUAUUACGAGUAAUUACGAUACUUUUGUACAUACCACUUCUUUCCUUUCUACAGACCAGACCAGAAUAAAACGUCAGUCACGCGUCACUGCACCAACUAAAACAUCAUCACUGCUUCGAAUGUGACUGACAAGCAGCCAAAAGUCUAAUUAAAUCAGCCGGCUCACUGUCAAGAGCCGCCCUACAAAGAUUGUCCCCAACACUUUCCAGUGUCCUGUCAAUCAGAGAAAAGGGAAAAGGGAAGGGAACAGAAAAGAAAAAAAAGCAAAUAAAGAAAGCUCGAGCCCUCCCACUCCCACAUUUUGGGAUUUCUGGGCCUGGCGCUCAAUCCUGCAUCGUGAUUGAUCAGUUGGCCAUUUGCCUCGGGCAUCGUGCUUGUGCAUCACUCGAGUCACUGCAUGCAUUGCAAAUCAUGGUCACGGCGAUUAGUACGAUGGGAUGGAUGGCCACUGGUUAGACAGCCAAGCGCGACAAGAAGAAAAAAAGCAAAGAUGGAAAGGAAGGCUAGGCUACGACACUAUCCCGUCGCGGAUCCUGAUCAGUCGUCACCAUGAUCGUAGUAGACUGUGUAAAAAGAAAAUAAAGAAAAUCACUCCACUCCCGACGUUGGAGUGUAGAUCCAUCUCACACCACACUGGAUCGAUCGAUGCGACAAUAUCUGAGCAGUGAGCACAUUUGUUCCAGUUUCUUCGUAAACCCAAGCCGCUGGAUUGGCACGCAACCCUUGUUCAAAGAGUAACAUCCGGAAUAGGUACAGAUCGUGCUCGGCAUCUACAAUCCAGCUUGUUGUAGGCCCAGGGAAAGACCUAAUGUCGGCAAACCCACGGAAUACGUGUGCUGAAAUCCGAGCGGUUCCCGAGCGGCAGGUUUAGGCUUGGAGAUCACCCGUCAACUGGUCUGUCUGUCCAGUCGUUUAGUUUUCGGUCACACCUACCUGUCAAAGGACAUCCCGGUGAUGGUGAUACCACUGCUCAUGCGUAUCUCAUGCUCGAUAUCUCAACCCGCUCCGACUUCCGUAACAUCCCUUACUGUCUUCGCCACAGCAAUAUAUCCAGAUCCACCCCGAGACCAAAAGCUACAGCCUGAUGACCAGUCGCAAAAACCCAGCAUGUUUACUUUUCCCGAAUACGUACUCCGUACACAGUCAGGUAGCGUACGCAUCAUCGCAUGCGUACUGCAUAUUACUGUAUGUAUCGUAGUGGGAUGGAAAGCAAGCGUGACGGUUCGGCCACCCCUUUGCUUGUUUUUCAGUUCCUACUUUUUGCUCCUUUUUUUUCAAAGCUCAUUGAACGAACUUGAACAGCCAAGCAACAAACGUGAAAGCAGGCCCCGUGCAUCCUUGCAGCAGUCAGGGCACAAACAAGUUACACACGGUUGAGCAAGCUUACUCUGCAGGUAGUCGAAAUCACUAUUGACCAAUGAGCCACUGACUCUGGAUGAUAUCAGAAGCAAUCUGGUGCGAAGUCAGUGGUAGGUAAAGCCCAUCGAUGCGAACACCUUUAUGAUAUUCUCUCCGACAUGAACUCCUGACUCCACAUUCUCCUGAUCGAAACCAGCCACAGACCAUAAGUGAUCUAGAUCUACACACGGAUCGAAAGUUGCUUCUUGCAUGCCAAGCUUGACGACUGCCGAAAUAGAAGCCGUCCCUUAUUUUGGUGGUCUAUCUAGUUGCCUCUUCUGGGAGUCUUAUGAUGGGGUAGAUGUCAUGUCUAAAGGAUGUAAGAUAGACACCCUUUGCCACGGCUGCAUACCAACGCUGACCAUCACGCGGCCAUUGCGAUUGAUCAGCGCUCAUCCCUCAACUUUCAACUUGGGUUCAGACGAAGAAGCAAAGGUCGAAGAGCUAUCGCCAAUUGUGUGUUGCACCAGAGCGGAUGACCAAUUUCCGAAGGACGGGAGCUCGCAUGCAGCUGUCAAACAUCAAACCAUCUCCCCUGCUCUGUUGCUCUGGUCGAGGAGAGGACAGAUCCACAUCUGUGCUGCGCCGGUUGCAUGUGAGGUGCCAAACGGAACAAAGGAUGCGAUAUACCCGUUGCAUCCUUAUUCUUUGUCCCUGGGUCUAGACAAACACGGUCUUCGAGACAGAAUUGACUAACGAUUCAUGUGGAAAAGAAAAGUAGUAAGAAAGGCAGAAGCAUGGAUCAGGUGAUUAAGAUGACUGGUUAGCUAGGAAGGUGCAAGGGUAGCGCCUGCUGCGAUAGCCACCACAUUACAUCACAUCACGUGUUGGACUGAAUAGGCAAGAAUCAGCUUCACUCUGCUUGAGUUGCAGAUGAAAAAUCUCUGCACGUUUGCUGUUUGUUGCGGAGCAUAAGACCUGUCGAGCGCAUGCCAUCAUAUGUGUAUAUGGAUAUAUAUAGAUAUACAUGUGAUAUGAACGAUAUCUCCAUGUAGGCACUGGGAGAGAAAUGAAAUCUCAAGGCGAAACCGUGGCAACAAUCCAACAUUGAAAGGAUACGUAUACCAAUAUCAAAGCACAUCAAAUGACCGGCCGUUU
rnacentral:lncRNA from 1 species